rnacentral:rRNA from 1 species
AGAAUCAACGCUGGCGGCGUGCCUAACACAUGCAAGUCGAACGAGAAAGUGGAGCAAUCCAUGAGUAAAGUGGCGCACGGGUGAGUAACACGUGACUAACCUACCCUCGAGUGGGGAAUAACCUCGGGAAACCGGGGCUAACACCGCAUAACAUCUACGGAUCAAAUGCGUAAGCAGCUUGAGGAGGGGGUCGCGGCUGAUUAGCUAGUUGGCGGGGUAAUGGCCCACCAAGGCAGUGAUCAGUAGCCGGCCUGAGAGGGCGCACGGCCACACUGGAACUGAAACACGGUCCAGACUCCUACGGGAGGCAGCAGUGGGGAAUUUUGCGCAAUGGGGGAAACCCUGACGCAGCAACGCCGCGUGGAGGAUGAAGCCCCUUGGGUGUAAACUCCUUUCGAUCGGGACGAUUAUGACGGUACCGGAUGAAGAAGCACCGGCUAACUCUGUGCCAGCAGCCGC